UGCAAGUCGAACGGGAUUAUUUUUGUAGCAAUACAGAAAUAAUUCAGUGGCGAACGGGUGCGUAACACGUGGGCAAUCUGCCGAAAAGUGGGGGAUAGCUCGCCGAAAGGCGAAUUAAUACCGCAUGUGGUGAGGGACGACAUCUUCCUUAAUCCAAAGCCGGGGCAACCUGGCGCUUUUUGAGGAGCCCGCGGCCUAUCAGCUAGUUGGUGAGGUAACGGCCCACCAAGGCUUUGACGGGUAGCUGGUCUGAGAGGACGACCAGUCACACUGGAACUGAGACACGGUCCAGACACCUACGGGUGGCAGCAGUCGAGAAUUUUUCUCAAUGGGGGCAACCCUGAAGGAGCGACGCCGCGUGGAGGAUGAAGGCUUUCGGGUUGUAAACUCCUGUCAUUUGAGAACAAGUGCCAACAAGUAACUACUGUUGGCUUGAUAGUAUCAGAAGAGGAAGGGACGGCUAACUCUGUGCCAGCAGCCGCGGUAAUACAGAGGUCCCAAGCGUUGUUCGGAUUCAUUGGGCGUAAAGGGUGCGUAGGUGGCGCCGUAAGUCGGAUGUGAAAUUUCGGAGCUUAACUCCGAAACUGCAUUCGAUACUGCGGUGCUUGGGGACUGGAGAGGAGACUGGAAUUCAUGGUGUAGCAGUGAAAUGCGUAGAGAUCAUGAGGAAGACCAGUGGCGAAGGCGGGUCUCUGGACAGUUCCUGACACUGAGGCACGAAGGCCA
rnacentral:rRNA from 1 species